rnacentral:lncRNA from 1 species
AUAUUUGAAAAUAACUAAAUUAUUAUAAAGUAUCCAAACUACCAAAAAAUAUCCGAAAUCCGAAACUAUCAGAAAUCCGAAACUAUCCGAAUAGUAUUAUCUGAAAUAUCCAAAAUAAUCUGAAAUAUCUAAAUUUUUUAUCUAAAUCAUCGUAAUUUUUUUAAUAUUUUAUCCUAAAUAACCGAUAUUUUACCCGAACUAUCCGAACUACCCGAACCGGAACCAAAACCAAAUGAGAACCGAUUUUUUCGGGUAUUUUUGGGUUCUUAAUUUUACUAUCCGAACCGAACCAAAAUCGAAACUAUCUGAACCAAACCGAACCAAAAAUAUGUGAAGUAGUAAAUGAAUCCUCUAACCCCCUACCCGAACUACCCGAUACCUGAAAUACCCUAACCGAACCAAAUCAAAACCCGAAAUUCCCAUGCCUAACUAUCAAUAUAUGGUUUGUAUUUUAUAU